rnacentral:rRNA from 1 species
UCAGUUCAGCACUAAGUCACUUUGUCUUUAUGGCAAAUGUGAGAUGCAGUGUAUGGAAUGUCAAAUUUCUAGUAUGAGAAAUUAACGAUUUAAGUCCUUCUUAAAUGAGGCCAUUUACCCAUAGAGGGUGCCAGGCCCGUAUAACGUUAAUGAUUACUAGAUGGCAUUUCCAAAGAGUCGUGUUGCUUGAUAGUGCAGCACUAAGUUGGUGGUAAACUCCAUCUAAAACUAAAUAUAACCAUGAGACCGAUAGUAAACAAGUACCGUGAGGGAAAGUUGAAAAGAACUCUGAAUAGAGAGUUAAAUAGUACGUGAAACUGCUUAGAGGUUAAGCCCGAUGAACCUGAAUAUCCAUUAUAGAAAAUUCAUCAUUAUGAUUUUAAUAUUAAUAAUAUUAUAAUAAUGGUGUGCAUUUUUUCUAUAACGGACAUUGUAAUCUAUUAACAUAUACCAAAUUUAUCAUAAGAUCAAUGAUGCGUAAGUUUAUUCAAAUUAUUUUGCUUGCAAUUUAACAUAGAAUAAAUGCUCUUGAUUUGAUAAAGUGUUGAUAGAUUUAUUAUAUAUAGUGCUUAAAUAUUUAUAUUUUAUAAUAGCAUAUUAAUCAUUGAUUUUUAUGUUUAUUAUAUGCACUUAUAUGAUUAACAAUGCGAAAGAUUCAGGAUACCUUCGGGACCCGUCUUGAAACACGGACCAAGGAGUCUAACAUAUUUGCAAGUUAUUGGGUAUCAAAACCUAAUAGCGAAAUUAACAUAACUUAUAUAAUGGGAUUAGUUUUUAGAUUAUUUAUAGUCUAUUAAUUCAAUCCCGGGGCGUUCUAUAUAGUUAUGUAUAAUAAUAUUUAUAUUAUUUAUACCUCUAACUAGAGCGUACCUUGAGCAUAUAUGCUGUGACCCGAAAGAUGGUGAACUAUACUUGAUCAGGUUGAAGUCAGGGGAAACCCUGAUGGAAGACCGAAACAGUUCUGACGUGCAAAUCGAUUGUCAGAAUUGAGUAUA